rnacentral:rRNA from 1 species
UACGUAGGCGGCAAGCGUUGUCCGGAAUUAUUGGGCGUAAAGGGAGCGCAGGCGGGAAACUAAGCGGAUCUUAAAAGUGCGGGGCUCAACCCCGUGAUGGGGUCCGAACUGGUUUUCUUGAGUGCAGGAGAGGAAAGCGGAAUUCCCAGUGUAGCGGUGAAAUGUGUAGAUAUUGGGAAGAACACCAGUGGCGAAGGCGGCUUUCUGGACUGUAACUGACGCUGAGGCUCGAAAGCUAGGGUAGCGAACGGG